AGCUUUUUUGCUGCCGUCUCUGCCACCUGCCUCCAGCGCCCGACCUCACCUCCUGUCAUGGUUUAGGAGGAAGUGCAGGCACGAAGGGCUUAGUACGUAGCAGCCUUAGCCUCAUUACCAUGGUUGGAUUAAAAGGAAUGAUAAAUAACACUUCCAGCUCUACCCUAAUUGAUAAUAACCAAGUGUUCUUUGGAAGGAACAAAGUACAGCUUCCACUGAACUCAGGAAACAUGUAAAGAAGAGGUUACCUGAUUGAAUACCAUCCUGCUUCUCAACUGUGGUGCAGCUCCGCACAACUGCCCCUCUACGCUACUAUGCUAAGCAAGCUGCUGCUGCUGUGUCAGAAAACAGAGGUACGCUGCACAGAGGACAGUCUUGCAGCCCUCUCCUUCCAAAGUGUAUUUCACACCAAAGAAGGACACUCCCUCUUCCUUCAAGAGCCUCAAAAUCAUACCUUCACUGAGGCUUUGCAACAGGCAAAUGUUUUUUUACAUUGUGUAUUUUAUG